GUAGUUAGCCGGGGCUUUCUCCUUGGCUACCGUCACUUCUUCGUCACCAAGAACAGAGGUUUACAAUCCGAAAACCUUCUUCCCUCACGCGGCGUUGCUGGGUCAGGCUUGCGCCCAUUGCCCAAUAUUCCCCACUGCUGCCUCCCGUAGGAGUCUGGACCGUGUCUCAGUUCCAGUGUGGCCGAUCAGCCUCUCAGCUCGGCUACCCAUCGCGGACUUGGUGGGCCGUUACCCCGCCAACUAUCUAAUGGGACGCGAGCCCCUCCUUCUGCGGAUUACUCCUUUGACCUCUCUGCCAUGCGACAGUGUGGUCUUAUGCGGUAUUAGCAACAAUUUCUUGUUGUUAUCCCCUCCAAAAGGAACAGGUUGCUCACGCGUUACUCACCCGUUCGCCACUAAACUACCAACCGAAGUCAAUAAGCUCCGUUCGACUUGCAUGUGUUAGGCACGCCGCCAGCGUNUCUCUAGCGACACUACUAACUAACUACUACUACUAGAGGACGGCGGUCGACGGACGGCGACGUAGAG
rnacentral:rRNA from 1 species